UGAACGCUGGCGGUAGGCCUAACACAUGCAAGUCGAACGGCAGCACAGUAAGAGCUUGCUCUUACGGGUGGCGAGUGGCGGACGGGUGAGGAAUACAUCGGAAUCUACUUUUUCGUGGGGGAUAACGUAGGGAAACUUACGCUAAUACCGCAUACGACCUACGGGUGAAAGCAGGGGAUCUUCGGACCUUGCGCGAUUGAAUGAGCCGAUGUCGGAUUAGCUAGUUGGCGGGGUAAAGGCCCACCAAGGCGACGAUCCGUAGCUGGUCUGAGAGGAUGAUCAGCCACACUGGAACUGAGACACGGUCCAGACUCCUACGGGAGGCAGCAGUGGGGAAUAUUGGACAAUGGGCGCAAGCCUGAUCCAGCCAUACCGCGUGGGUGAAGAAGGCCUUCGGGUUGUAAAGCCCUUUUGUUGGGAAAGAAAAGCGGCAGGUUAAUACCCCGCUGUUCUGACGGUACCCAAAGAAUAAGCACCGGCUAACUUCGUG
rnacentral:rRNA from 1 species